rnacentral:rRNA from 1 species
CCCCUAGAUGUUCUGGGCCGCACGCGCGCUACACUGAACAGUUCAACAAGUCUUAACCUUGGCCGAUAGGUCUGGGUAAUCUUUGAACGCUGCUCGUGAUUGGGAUAGACCUUUGCAAUUAUGGGUCUUCAACGAGGAAUUCCUAGUAAACGCAAGUCAUCAGCUUGCAUUGAUUACGUCCCUGCCCUUUGUACACACCGCCCGUCGCACCUACCGAUUGAAUGGUCCGGUGAAAUCUCGGGACGGCGGCUUGGUCGCUUGCGUCCGACUGCUGAAACUUGAUUAAACCAUAUCAUUUAGAGGAAGGUGAANUCGUAGCA